GCAAGGUCUUUUGGGUUGAGUAUCAAUGAAUCAUUUCCUUCAUAUUCAGAUGAAAGAUAUGCCUGGGUAACUCAGGUUCCCACCCUGCUUUAUCUUAACGAUCCAUACAUUGCAGAACUUCAAUGAUACUAGGAGGCAUAAAAUCUGUUAAAACCCUUAAUAUUGUCCCUGGUACACAGAGGCACACAAGAAAUACUUGUGGAAUAAACACUAGCUACUAAAGAUACUUGAUGCUGAGAGUUCUGAAGUCUAUUAGGCACAAAUUAUCAACUUCUCCACUGGUCCAUCCCGAUAGCAGUGUGGAACAACUCAGAAACAGUCAAACUGUCUGGAUUCAAUUCCUUGCUCUAUUGUUUAUCAAUGUGCGGCCUUAUGUUAUUGGCCAAACUGAUUUGAGGCCAAGUUUGUUUUGUUUUGUUUUGUGUUUUAGAGAGAGAGAGAGCGUGCGCACACAAACAAGUGGCGGGGGGUGGCAGAGGGACAGAGAGAAUCUUUGGCAGGCUCCAUACCCAGCAUGGAGCCCCAUGCAGGGCUCAAUCUCAUGA
rnacentral:lncRNA from 1 species